rnacentral:tRNA from 1 species
GUCUUUAUAAUUUAAAUAAAAUUUUGAUCUUGUAAAUCAAAAAUGAGACUUAUCUCUUUAGACU